rnacentral:rRNA from 1 species
GUGCCAGCCGCCGCGGUAAUACGAAGGUCCCAAGCGUUGUUCGGAAUCACUGGGCGUAAAGGGAGCGUAGGCGGCGUGGUAAGUCAGAUGUGAAAUCCCGGGGCUCAACCCCGGAACUGCAUCCGAUACUGCCAUGCUAGAGGAUUGGAGAGGUAGCUGGAAUUCUUGGUGUAGCAGUGAAAUGCGUAGAGAUCAAGAGGAACACUCGUGGCGAAAGCGAGCUACUGGACAAUUCCUGACGCUGAGGCUCGAAGGCUAGGGUAGCGAAAGGGAUUAGAAACCCCCGUAGUCC